UCUUCCUUCCCCAGCCUAUUUUUUCACAGCCUGAAGGUCAUGGAAGGGAUUUUCUGCUGUGGAGAAAGUGCUAAAAAAGAGGGUGACAAAAAAAAGGGACUUAGAAAGCCACGAACAAUAAAAACAUUUCAAGCAGCAGCAUUAUAAAUAACUUAAGGAGGAGUUGUAGCUGCACCUUGAGAUUGUGGGAGCUGUGCUGUCAUCUGGCACUGUGGAAGAGCAGAGAAUUUCCUGAUUUAUUUGGGAUAGCAGCUGCCUGGAAUUUACUGAUUUAUUUGGGAUAGCAGCUGUUUCCUACCUGGAAUGGGAAUGGGAGCAACUGCUUGGUGGGAGUGAGGGAGAACCAGAAGAGCUUCAGGUAAAGGCACAAUGAGAGUCGUUCCUUCUGCUGCGAGGGAUUGCUGGAGGUUUGUUAUGGAUUUCUAUGUUCAGAAGGAGAUAAUUCAAGGGAACUUUGGGAAAAUCACUGAACUAUAAAGUGAGAUUUGCUGAGAAGUUGGUGUUGGGUUCUCAACAUACAGGGACCAAAUGUAAAGGAAGUCAGUCCUGGCUCCCUUUAUUCCCAAGGAAUGGAAAGGACCAUGUCAGCUGAAUAAACCCAAAACUGGUUUAAGAUCAUGAAAUUCUGUGGCCAAACUACGAAUAAAUAUUGCUGUCAGCUUCUAAGGUUCAAUUUAACCACAGAAAUUUAUUCUUCUCUUUCUAUGGUUCACUUUAACCACAAAAAUUUAUUCUCUUUCUAUGGUUCACUUUAACCACAAA